rnacentral:tRNA from 1 species
UUGCCCGCUAGCACAAUUUGGCAGUUGCGCCCGGCUCUGAACCGGGAGGUUCCAGGUUCGACUCCUGGGUGGGCAGCGCG